rnacentral:rRNA from 1 species
CGGCAUGCCUAAUACAUGCAAGUCGAGCGAACAGAUGAAGUGCUUGCACUUCUGACGUUAGCGGCGAACGGGUGAGUAACACGUAAGGAAUCUACCUAUAAGCGGGGGAUAACAUUCGGAAACGGGUGCUAAUACCGCAUAAUAUCUUCUUCCGCAUGGAAGAAGAUUGAAAGACGGCUCUGCUGUCACUUAUAGAUGACCUUGCGGUGCAUUAGUUAGUUGGUGGGGUAACGGCCUACCAAGACGAUGAUGCAUAGCCGACCUGAGAGGGUGAUCGGCCACAUUGGGACUGAGACACGGCCCAAACUCCUACGGGAGGCAGCAGUAGGGAAUCUUCCGCAAUGGGCGAAAGCCUGACGGAGCAAUGCCGCGUGAGUGAAGAAGGCCUUCGGGUCGUAAAACUCUGUUAUAAGAGAAGAACAAAUUGUAGAGUAACUGCUACAGUCUUGACGGUAUCUUAUCAGAAAGCCACGGCUAACUACGUGCCAGCAGCCGCGGUAAUACGUAGGUGGCAAGCGUUGUCCGGAUUUAUUGGGCGUAAAGGGAGCGCAGGUGGUUUCUUAAGUCUGAUGUGAAAGCCCACGGCUUAACCGUGGAGGGUCAUUGGAAACUGGGAAACUUGAGUACAGAAGAGGAAUGUGGAACUCCAUGUGUAGCGGUGGAAUGCGUAGAUAUAUGGAAGAACACCAGUGGCGAAGGCGACAU